rnacentral:rRNA from 1 species
AUGAAGUCAGUGCUUCUCCGACGUAUUACGUUGGUGCUGCUAGCCAAGAGCUACAUCAGAAAAAAGCAGAGUAUUCACAUUGCUGGUAAGGACAUUCCUAUAACUCCAACAGAUGUGUAUGAAUUAAUGGACCAUCUGAUAGAGUGGGAAGAUAUAUAUAUGGAAAUGGGAAAACCAAUAGAUGUAAACCUGUUAAGCGUUUAUCAAACUGAUGGAAGACUUAAGCUGAGUGACCUUGAGAAGAAAAUUAAAGCCUCCAAAACUCCAGAUGAUCAUUUCAUCAGGCGGUUUGUUUUGUAUAUGCUAUUGGCACUAUGUUAG